rnacentral:tRNA from 1 species
GCCUGGGUGACUCAGUUGGUCAAGUGUCUGACUUCAGCUCAGGUCAUGAUCUCGUGGUUCGUGGGUUUGAGCCCUACAUCGGGCU